AGUUCGUGGAUUAAUUUGUCAGGUUAAUUCCGUUAACGAACGAGACUUUAACUUGCUAGUUGGAGUUUAUUAUUUAUAGUACACUCUUCUAGAAGGACCAUGUGUGUCUAACACAAGGAAGCGUGAAGCAAUAACAGGU
rnacentral:rRNA from 1 species